UCUCUCUCUCUCUCUCUCUCUCCUCUCUCCCCCCUCUCCCUUUCUCUCCUCUUCCCUCCCCCUCUGUGUUUCUUCCAGAUCAGCUUCCUUCUUAGUCCAUCUCUACAUGCCCAGAGCUUCAAAUACAACCCUCCCAGUCCAGCUGCCACAAAACUUCGAUCAUUGGCUUUUGCACCUGGAAGAGAUGGACAUAGAACCUGGAUGGGUAAUUACAAACACAAUCUCUAUGUGCUUUUCCCCCAAUCAUGGGUUCCACGAUGCUUUUACGGGAGGGGAGGCUGUUUUGUUUUAUUGGCUGGACAGAUGCGUUUCUUUCCUCAUUCCCUUCUUGAUCUGUGUGUCUUUCUGGCUAACAGAGGUGUGCAUAGCUCUAUCUGUGAUGCUCUGUAGUCUUCUGUGAAAGUAUACGUCUUGCUUCCACAAGUAGACAUUUUGGAAGGAUUAUUUGUGUGAAAGAAUGAGGGAAGGUUGGCUGGUAACUGAGGCUCGGGACAUGAUACUCAUCUCAAGGAUAAAAAUGUUUUCAGGGGAAGUGGGUGAGUGUAGAUCUUUCCAAGUUUCCCUCGUCAUUCAUAAAUGAGAUUGAAGAGAUUUUUAAAAAGCAUUUCUGUGAGAAUUGUGAGCCUGGGGUGAUUCCUGUGUCAGCUUUCUGAACUGUGUGUGCAACGUUCCCUUAAUGUGACCCUGGAAAUAAUUGAUGCACUUCAGCAAUGCUCACACUGUGGAUAACAUGUUUUCUCUGACCAGUUUUGUGACUAAGUAAAAGGAGAACGUAUGAGGCAGUCUCUAGGUUAUGUUUUCCAUUUGGGGGAGGGGCUAGGGAAAGCGGUUAGUUGAAUGGGUCAGCUGAAGGGUGUAGAGAGAUGCUUUGAUUCCACCCCCUCAUUUUGUUUUGAGAAGACUUGCUUGAUAAUUUAUCAGUGAUUCUGACAUUAGGGUGUACACAGAAGAGGGCUGAGGUAGAAACAGCUCCUUGGGGUGUGAAGCUCACUGCCCAACUUCUUCCUCUCACCUUCCAAGUGACAGGUAGAAACUGCCUGCCUCACUGCUCUGCAUGAAACUUCCUUUUCUCCCAGUCUCUGCUCCCUCUUUGGACAAGAAGGGCCCUUGGGAGGAUGGAUAGCUGUCUCUCUGGCUCAGGGAGAGGGUCCUGGCAUCUGGAGAAUGGGACUCAGAACUCUGCAACUGUGCUAAGAGAUUUUAGUGGAAGUUGGAUCUGGCUUGCAGGGAAAGGGCUCUCAGGCCUUGCUUUCCUGUCCUAGGAGGGCAGGAGUAGCAGUGGGGAAGAGGGCAGGAAUGGUCUGCUCAUCCCACAGGCAGCUCAGUAGUGGCUUGGGUGUGUGUUUUUCUUGGACUGCUACCCCUAUACUUUUUGGUUAUGAGUCUAACAUUUAAUGGCUGAGCCACCCUCCAGCCCCAUUGGGUAGCUAUCCUUAAGAAAUAUGCGAGGCACAGGUGUCAAGGCUUCUGAGAUCACCUAGAUCGUUUAAGGAUGACAGUCGGGGAGAGAUACUUGGGUGUCCUUAUAUGUGUCCAAGAGGUUUCCCUUCAUUAAUGCCUGUCACCUUGACUGCCUUUGACCUGCCCAUGCAUAGUGGAGGCAAAAAUUCUUCUUUCCAUCCUUUCCCCUCUUCCCAAUAAACCCCUGAGAUUUCUGCUUGAAAGGCACCCACAGCAGAAUCUCUGAGGGCUCUGUUUGUCUGCAGAUUCUGCUAACUACGGAACUGCUGACAGUGGUUGUAACAUUUGCAGCAUUUGAGUCAUCUUCAGGCCAGAUCGUCACCAGGAAAACAACAGGGGUAGGGGGAGAGGGAAGCAGUCCCCACAGCCUGCACGGGGACAGCAGAGACCGAUGCAAGGAGAACAGACUUGGGGGCCCAGCUUCACUCGGGACUUGGACAGCUGCCACAUUCUGCCCAAGUUGGCUUUCCGAAGACUCGGUUUCAGUGUCUGGAAAGCGGGUCUCUAAGCACCUGUCUACUCUUCCAGAAACGUCCCAGCUACUCCCUGCUUUUCGCCGCUUGCCACACGGCUAUGACUUUGGUCACCACCUUGAUCACACUUAGUUGUGCUGUGAUCCUCUCAUUGCCCCAUAAGCCCUUUGAGGUCGAGAGCUGAGUAGCGGUCACAGUUAAGACUUCGGAAUCCAAGAAGUUCUGGAUCCACGGCAGAUUCUUGCCUUUGGCUUCCAGUUCGGCGGUGGAAAACUACUCGGCUCAUCUGGGAUACUUGUUUGGUUCUUGACUCGAAGCGCCCGAGAUGAAAGGCAGAGAAACAGCGGAAACAAAAGCUCAUGCCUUAAGUUCUGCCAUUUCCUCGCAGCGCUUCCUCCUGUCCUGAAAGACUGUUUUCUGAGUCAAGGUUCUGGGGUCUUCCUGUGGUUUCACUCUCCAUGCAGUCGUGCUUUCUAGCCGGGUCUCCAUGAGACCAGAACAUGCCCCCUAGUGCAAGCUUCUGAAUUAUGCCUCUCCUUCUCACGGCAGCAGCCAGGGUCCUGGCUACGCUUGGAUCAUGAGGUAUGAUGCAUCUCUCAGACCUAUUCACCUGUGCUUAGGGAGUGAGAACCAGGCCGUCCAGUGACUCUGAGCAUCAUCCGACACUGUGGGAUUAUACUACAAUCAAAGCCGUGUGGCUGUGUUGAGAAUUCUGCAGCCUGGGUGCCCAUGGCAUGGGUGGGCAUACAGUAUAUCCCCUCUUACAUUUUUGUGUGUGUGUGGGGGUCAGGACAAGCCUGCUAUUGGCUGGCUAAUGCAGGAGGUGAGGUGAAACUGGACGGAGAUGGGACCAGGUCCCAUCAGUAACCAUGCUCCUAAGGGUCUCAACGUUGGCCACUGGGACAACAGCAUGGCUGGAUCCUUCUCUUCCUGAGAGCUGCUUACUUUCUGUCUGCUCCUGGAGACUGUGCUAGAGUGCAGCAUGCAUCGAUCAUACCUGUCACCUCUGCCAACUGUGAGAUAGUGGGCAUGGUGCUUUCCUGGGGCGUCCCCUCUGAUUUUAUUCAUGUAAGUACUGUGUGCUAACUGAUUGCUCCUCUAGAGCUUCCUUCCUCAAAGACAAGCAAGAUACGAAGUCACCAAGCACCUUGUGAUGGUUGGCUUUAUUGUCAACUUACCCAGAAUCAUGUGGGAAGAUUAGUGAGGGAUUGUCCUCCUUGGGUUGGCCUGGGGGCAUGUCUACGGAGGUCUGCCUUUAAUUGAUGUGGAGAGACCCAGUCCACGGUGGGCAGCACCACUCCCUAGGCUUGGAUUCUGGGCUGCUUAGAGAAAUCAAGCUGAGAACAAGCACAUAGGCAUCAAUUUCUUUCUGUUCUUGACUCCGGAUAUGAAGUGACUGUUUAAAGUCACUGCCUUGGUUUCCUGUUACGGUGGAGUGCAACCUGGUAUUGUGAGCUAAAGCAGAUCUUUUCCCUCCUAAGUGGCUUUUUCUCAGGGUAUUUUAUAACAGCAACAGGAAUUAGAACUAGAAAUGCAUACGGUGUGCCAGAGUCUCCUUCCUGCUCUGUAGUCACAAUUCUCACAUUUCCUAGACGGCGACUGGUGCCGUUCCCUCUCUUGCUUAGGAGGCCAGGCUUGGGGAGGUGGCUUAGUUGGUAAAGUGUUUUGCCUUGCAAACACGAGGACCCUAGUUCAGCCCCUAGAACUCAUGGUGGGCACAGGAGCUGGGGGAUGACUCAGCCUGAAAAGCACUUGCCAUGCAAGCGUGAAGACUGAAGUUCAGAUCCUCAGUACCCAUGCAAACAGCCAGAUGUGGCAUGGCAGCACUGCUCCUGCAACCCCAGCACUGCAGGGGUGGAGACAGGCAGGGCUCCGGAGCUCACUGGCCAGUUUGUCCAGCAAAUCAGCGAGCUCCAGGUUCAGUGAGAGAUCUCGCUUCAAAGAAUAAGAUGGAGAGUGACUGAGAAAUGCUCCUAAUGUCAAUUUAUGGCUUCGACACACAUACAAGCAUACGUGAACACAAAGCUGGGCAAGGGGCAUGUGGAGACAGGAGGAGGUGGGCUCUCAGCUCAGCAACCUUAGACUAAUCAGUGAUGGCCAGGUCCCAAUAAGAGGCCGCCUCUCAGGGGAAAAGUGGUUGGCUCCCAAGGAAGGAUACCUGAGGGUCACCUCUGUUUCCAUAUAGGUACAUGUGCUCAUCUCCACACACAUUCACACACACACACACACACACACACACGUGCACGCAAGCACGCACACAGUAUUAAAAGAAACCCACGUUCAAUAGCCAUAGCAUGCAGUAAACGCCUGUAACCUUAGCAGUUGGAAGGUAGAAGCAGGAAGAUCAGAAGUUUAAGACCUUCAGCUACAUCAUGGGUUCAAGGCCACCCUGGGCUACAUGGAACCCUGUAUCACAAAACAAACAAAAACCCAGAAUCCAGGAAACUUGAGACUGAAAAUUCCUUGAGAGAACAAGGAGAAAAGUCCAAAGACAGUGGGCUCCUGCAGUCCAGCUCCUGUCCAAGCAAUGACUUGACCCACGUCCUCACUCUCCUAAGGGACACAUGAUGGGCAUAAGUGAGGCAGGAACUUCAAACAGAGCCCAGCAGUCUUGCAUACUACCCUUCUGUCUCUGGAGGACAUGGCUGGACAAGUUAGAAGGCUAUGCAAACAGAGGAAGCCAGUGCUGGCUGCAUUUUGGUUGCUGUCAUCCCUGGCUGAGACACUCUUCUGGGGUCCUCCUCCCCAUUCACACCUACCUCAUGACAGCAGCUGCAAGGAUGUGAUUAGACACAAAAAUCACAUCACAACCCCUUCUUUGUAGAGACCCUUUGGGGUUCCCAUGCUUGGUACACUGGGCGGCCUGGAUCUGACCAUCUCUAGCCCCUGGCCUGUAGCACUCUCUCUUCAGGCCCCUGAAAUGAGCCCCAUGUGUUUUCCUGCCCCAGGACAUUUGCAUGUGCUCUGUUAUCUACAUGAAGUGAAAGCAUAUUCUUCUCCUGCCUUUUCCUGAAUGACACCUAUUUCUUCCUCCAUAGAUGCCAUGGAAACACCAUUCUUUCAGAGAUGUGCCUUCCUGCCUCCUGGACCUCCUGGAUUUAAACUGGUUCCAUUCUCCCCGAAAAGUCUGUGUCCUUCACUCUGUCCAGUUUGUCAUUGUGUUUUCUCUGGUUUGUUUCUUCACGUCCCAUAUUCCACAGACACAGGCGCCACGUCUGCUCUGUUCUUCCUGCCCCUUAGAGCUCUGAGCCUGGCAUGAAGACUUCUCGGCACCUUCGGUUGGAAGCCGGUAGUGUUUGCAGCUCUCUGCUGGGUGUUUCAUGCAUCCCCGGUCAGUUCUGCGCUAGAAAGACACCCAGGACUGUCCCCACCUUUGGAUACAGUGCUAGGCUAUAGCUAGCUGUAGGGAUCUGCACAUACACCAGGGUUCAUUUAACCCUCAUGGAAUUCAGGCCUCCGUUUCCUCUGUUGUGAGAUGGGAUUUCCUAAGACGGGAAGGUUGGAAGAGGUUAAAGUAGCCAUUCUUUUCUCUUUUGCCUGUGACCCUUCUCUGGGCAAUAGCCCCACCCCCUUCUAAACAAGGACUCCCGAGGACCAGAGAUGUUAAGUUUGUCUGAGAACACAGAGCAGAGCUGGGUCCAAGAUGAGGGUCUUGCAUCUUAUAAGUGAUGAGAUUGUCCCUGCCACCUGCCAGACGUGGCACAGGGAACUCAGACCCAGAGGGUCAGGGGAAGGGAGCCCCACCCCCACCUCCAUCCCCACCCCAGAAGAGCAGUUGGUCCGUUUCUCCUGCCCAGUGCUUCCUAAUCUUCUGGAGCAUCCUCCCCGAGGGCAACAGCAACUGCCUCGACAGAGCUGAGCCCCACAUGACAGGCUUUCCCACACCAAGACCCUUGGGGGACCCCACACAGAAACUGACCUAUAUUAAUUUCAAGUGCUAUUUGCAGUCUUGGUCCCUUCCCACCCAGCACUUAACCCCACCCUGCACAAACUCACAAACACGUUGAUCAGCCCAAGGACCUUGUAAAAAUAAAAUGAUCUGACCCCGGCCAUCUCGGAGUCUCUGCCUUCUGGUGCUGCUGCGUUGAGGCAGGGGGAUAGCAAUCACAGCCCAGCCCACUUUGAGGAAGGGAUGCCAUCCUCCUGGAAGGAGAUGAGAAGGAGGCAGCAUUUAAAACGGGUGCAGGGAGCUGAUGGGUGUGAUGAGCUAGGGACCCAGGAGAGGGCAACAGGAGGAAGAGAGGAUUAAUGAAGUCCCCCUGGGGGCAGCUCACCCGGGAGGGAACAAAUUGCUAGAAAGAAUGGAGAAUGAAGACAGAGAAGGGAAAAUCCUGGGGAGAGUGUGCUGGACAGGGAGGGGUGACGUGGGGGUGUCACAGACUGGCCACGAGAGCAGAUGGAAGGACCCACAGCUAAUAUGACUAGGUUUUGUUUGGAGAAGAGGUGGGGGUAAGUGCCCCAGGGAAGAGUUAGGUGGGAGAGUCAGCUGUCAGACAGAAAGUGGAGGCCUGACCCUAAUGCGGCUUUCAAAUCAAGUGGAAGCCAAAAGCUGACACUCGAGGCUGUCCUACGGCCUUCGCAUGUGAGCUACCGCACGAGUGUAUGUCCAGAAACACACAAAGAAGAGCAGGACACAGGUCCGCAUGGUGGGAGGCCAGUAAAGAUGCAGGAAGAAGAUGCCUUCGCAAGCCAAGGAUGGGCUGGGAAGAAAUCAUUUACCUGACUUUGAACCCCAGGACCGCAGGGAAGGGACCUCUGCUCUGAAGCCUGGUAGGCUGUGGAGGUCUUGUGGCCACCCUCAUAGACUGCCAUCAGUCCCUCAUGUGAAAUGCACCCAUCUCUUCCCCCAGGCCUGUCUUUAUCUUGUCAUCUAAGUCAGGCGUGGGCAUGGUCACACCACGGAGUUCCUGGGUAGACAAGAGACAGCUCUAUCGUCUAACAGAAAGGGCCUCCAAAUAUAAGGGCCUCCAAUAUAUGUUUAGAUGGUUCCCUGUCUUUUUGGAAGCAUCUAGAAGGCACUGCUUUGAAUCUCGGUGACAUCUUAACAAAAGGAUUCACGGGCACACCGUUGGUUAAACUGUCUUCCUGGUAGGGACCCUGACUUUGAGCUUCGCCCAGAAACCACUUGUCAUUUUGAGAACUGUUGUCAAGCAGAGUCUGGGAAUAGGAGAUGUCCAAACCCAACUCAUUUGGUUUAUCUAUAGUCACUAGUUUGUUCACUGGCUUCUCUUAUUGACAGAGCCAGGAUCCGAACUCUAGGCAGCCACCUCAAACCUUGUGCUCUGGCGUGGAGACCCUGUUGCUCAUGCACCACAGAGCAGAGGGGAAGGUGGGUUGAAGCAGGGGAGACAGCAAGGAGCUUGCCAGGCACUGGGUUGGCUCUUGGCUGGAGGUUCAGAGAUAGAGGGAAACGUGAGGUUCUAGGAGCACCAGCCCACUGUGCUGCCCCCUUCCCCUUGCUCUGUCACUAAGCACUUAGUUCCUAGCUUCUAUUUCCUGGUGACCACUUUUAUACCCCCUAUGCAGGGCAAACGUUACACUCUACUCUCCUGCCAGCUGGAGCAACGGUUCUGUCUUCCCUCGGAAGGUCCUUCCACAUCAUGAGUUCAGUGUGAAUUCUAGCUCUUCUGUGAAGCCUUCCCUACAAGUUACUACUCCUGCUUGGGAGGGUCUGAACACAGGAUUCUCUCACUUGAAGUACAACUGAGGGGAAGCUGGCUAAGGUGAGGCUGGUGGAUAUCACUUGAAGUUGUGUGGCCCCCAGGUUCCUCCCACCCAAGGUUCUGUCAGCUUCUAGGAUGGAGGUUUGCAACCCGUGAUGAUUUUUUUUGUGAAUAAAGUUUUAUUGAGACACA